rnacentral:rRNA from 1 species
AACGAACGCUGGCGGCGUGGAUAAGACAUGCAAGUCGAACGGGAUCACUGAGGUAGCAAUAUCGCGGUGGUCCAGUGGCGAACGGGUGCGUAACACGUGGAUACAUUCCGGAAAGCGGGGGAUAGCCCAGGGAAACUUGGAUUAAUACCGCAUGUGGUCGAAAGACUAAAGACGGGGACCGUAAGGCCUGUCACUUUCCGAUUGGUCCGCGGCCUAUCAGCUAGUUGGCGGGGUAAAAGCCCACCAAGGCUACGACGGGUAGCUGGUCUUAGAGGACGACCAGCCACACUGGAACUGAGACACGGUCCAGACACCUACGGGUGGCAGCAGUCGAGAAUCUUUCACAAUGGGGGCAACCCUGAUGGAGCGACGCCGCGUGGAGGAUAAGGUCUUCGGAUUGUAAACUCCUGUCAUGCGCGAACAAGGUUGCGGGGCUAAUACCCCCUGCAAAUUGAUGGUACCGCAAGAGGAAGAGACGGCUAACUCUGUGCCAGCCGCCGCCGUAAUAC